UACGUAGGUGGCAAGCGUUACUCGGAAUCACUAGGCGUAAAGCGCAGGUAGGCGGUUUGAUAAGUCUGUUGUGAAAGCUCCCGGCUUAACUGGGAGAGGUCAACGGAAACUGUCAGGCUAGAGUGUGGUAGAGGUAGCUGGAAUUCCCGGUGUAGCGGUGAAAUGCGUAGAUAUCGUAAGGAAGACCAGUGGCGAAGGCGGGUCUCUGGACAGUUCCUGACGCUGAGGCACGAAGGUCAGGGGAGCAAACGGG
rnacentral:rRNA from 1 species